UCGCUCUUCCUCCGCUAGGUGGCUGUGUCAGCAUGUAAACACUGGUGUGGUUGUUCGCUUAUCACCAGCAAAAUACACCGUUUAUACAAGACUGAGGUACGUGAACUCACCUGUGACCACUGCACAGGUAACAGGUGUACGUGUCUGUGUGUCUGUGUGUCUCCUCCCCACCUGUGCAGGGAUACGAACCAAGGGCAAGACGAGUAGCUGGAAAGAUGGUGACCUCAAGAAAUAAGAGGGAAAUUUUGAGGAGAAAAGAACACCAGUAAGAAGAAGGAAAGAAGAUGUACGGCUUUAUCUUCCCCCCAUCUCUGCUCCUUGCCUUGUCUGUUGCCCCGCCGCCUCUCUGUGUCUGCCUCUCUCUGCCUCGCUGUCUACUCUUCACUGGCCGCAACGGAGGACAAGAGUGAGACGGAAAGGAGAUAAGAAUGAGCAGAAGGCAAGGAAGAAGAAGAGGAGGAGGACGACGACGACGAGGAGGAGGAGCAGGAGGAAGAGGAGGAGGAAAGAACUGAACAAACAGAAGACAUGGAAAGUGGAGGUGAAGCAGGACAAAGAAAACGGUGUGACGUAGAGAGGCAUCAUCACGCACCCAGAACACAGCUUCCUAACGCCACGUGCCGCCCCUCCGAUGUUUACGACAGGUGAAAAGGGGAUUAGUGACAGGGUGAGCGAGGGAGCGGCGCACAUCCCUCCUCUCCGGUGGCUGCAGCGAGACUGAUGCUCUGACAACACGUGACCCCUUCCACAGUGAGCGAGAGAGUGUAAGAGGGAGAGAAACGAGAUGAGUCUCCGCUGCGUGGCUGAAGAAAACGACGUAGCAGGAAGAAAACGACAUCGGUGUUCAAUGUUUGCAGGCCAACGCAGCCCUCUAACCAGCCCCACUCAGUCUUUGUACGUCGCCUCAAACAGCAGAACAAAAGCCAGAAUAUAUUCCAAUUCCUCCCUGUCGUCUCCACUCGGCACCAUUUGCGACUAGCAGCGAGAGUGAGUGGUCGACCUGCGGAGGUCUCGUGGCGGGACGCUGAAGGAGGCAGUGAAGCAGUGAAGUUAUGAGGUUUGCAGUCUCCACUUCACCAUCCCAUGAACACCCCUACUAGCUUCUGGUUAUCAAAUGAUGAUGCCACACCAGGCCUGACAUUCUCCAUUGCAAUCAGGGAGUCAAGUUUCAUCAGGAAGAGAGUACGAGUGUCACUACUUUCAAGCCUGACAAGAAGCAUUGAGUUUCAUCAGGAAGAGUUCAAGUGUUGCUUUCCUUCAAGCCAAGAUGUGUUGAUUUAUUUCAUCAGGAAGGAGAGCACAGCAGGAAAAGGGUCUAGCAGAUGAAUUUCUACAUUGCAAUCGAGGAAGAGUUGCAGCAAGAAGAGUGGAAGUCAAGAAUUUUGAGCAGGGGUAAGAUUGUCAAGCAGUUAACAGCAGGAAGAGUGCAUGAAAUUCCUUCAAGUUGUGGUGGAGACUGACAAGCAACCUUCAGGAAGGAGAACCUUCAGGAUUUGCAGAGAGGCAGAGUUCUUGGCAGUUUCACCAGGAAGAGUCUGCUGCUCACUCAAGUUGACACAGGACAAGCAAGAAUCAGCAAGUCUCCUCCUACCCUCUAUACUCCAAUAUCAAGUAAGCAUCAGCCCCACCACCUUCAGGCCUGGGACAAGUCACAGACGUUUCAUUCAAUUACAAGGAAAAUAAAAUGCCAUGCUUUUUUCCCUGUUGUGCAUUUAUUAUUUAUUUAUUGAACAUGCACGGUAAAACUAAAAAUUUAAUUUAUUGUGUACUAUGUAUGCACAUGUAUAGAGGAGUAGCAUGAUAAAAUGGAAUUAGAAUUUGUGGUCAGGAUCAGCUCAAAAAUGAAUGUUUUUCUGGUGGGUGACUUUCAUAUAUGCCCUGAGGGUUGAAAAAAAAAGCCAGGAUUGGCCCAAAAAAAAGAAUUUCCUGUGGUCAGGAUCAGCAGCUCUUAUAAAAAUAAAUGUUUUUCUGGUGGUAACUUUCAUAUAUGCCCUGAGGGUUAAAAAAACAGGAUUGGCCCAAAAAUGGCCCAAAAAAUAAUUUCUUGUGGUCAGGAUCAGCUCAAAAAUAAAUGUUUUUCUGGUGGUAACUCA